rnacentral:snoRNA from 1 species
AAACCAUGCAUUAGGCAUUUUCUAAUUAAUUCCUUGAAACACUUUCAUGCUUCGUAUAAUGUCUCAUCUUCAGAUUGCCUGCACAAUGUAAUGUCAUUCCUUAGCUU